rnacentral:ncRNA from 1 species
AAUCGCGAGGUUGGGGCUAAAGGAAGUGUGGAACAAAAUCGUGGCUCAACGUACAGAAACUUGAUACAAAGGCUACAUAAACGGAUAAAGUUACAGAACAAACCAAAGUCCGAAAGAUACACGUAAUUUUAUGCAGUAAAUUAGGUGAGUAAACGAGGAAAGUUAU